UUCUUUCUCCCUCUUUUGCUCUUCAACCAUCCUUAAGACAUUCUCAUCAGCCUUUUUCUGCUCCACGGAUGCCAACUGAGGUGAAUUGUUUCUCACAUCAUUCUUUUGCUUUUCAACUAGCCUUGACAUAUUCUCUAGAGCCUUUUGAAACUGCUCCAGCGAUGCCAACAAAAGAGAACCGUUUCUUUCAUCAUUCAUUUUCUUGAUUUUCUUCUCUUCAUCAAGUUUUUGUCU
rnacentral:misc_RNA from 1 species